AAGGCCUUCGGGUUGUAAAGCUCUUUCGGUUGGGAAGAAGGGGUAGUCAGUUAAUAAGUGAUUACUUUGAUGGUACCAAAAGAAGAAGCACCGGCAAACUUCGUGC
rnacentral:rRNA from 1 species